rnacentral:rRNA from 1 species
GUAGGUGGCAAGCGUUGUCCGGAAUUAUUGGGCGUAAAGCGCGCGCAGGUGGUUCUUUAGGUCUGAUGUGAAAGCCCCCGGCUCAACCGGGGAGGGUCAUUGGAAACUGGGGAACUUGAGUGCAGGAGAGGAAAGUGGAAUUCCACGUGUAGCGGUGAAAUGCGUAGAUAUGUGGAGGAACACCAGUGGCGAAGGCGACUUUCUGGCCUGUAACUGACACUGAGGCGCGAAAGCGUGGGGAGCAAACAGGAUUAGAUACCCUGGUAGUCCACGCCGUAAACGAUGAGUGCUAAGUGUUGGGGGGGCUUCCCGCCCCUCAGUGCUGCAGCUAACGCAUUAAGCACUCCGCCUGGGGAGUACGGUCGCAAGACUG